rnacentral:rRNA from 1 species
AAGUCUUGACAUUGAUCGCCAUUCCAAGAGAUUGGAAGUUCUCCUUCGGGAGACGAGAAAACAGGUGGUGCACGGCU